UCCGUUAUGGUGUAGUGGCUAACAUUAUCGCCUCUCAUACGCACAUGCGAAUGCCUGGUUUGAGAUCGCGAUAGCCCAGGGUUCGAUUCCCUGUAACGGAA